GAGUCGGACCUGCCCAGUGAAUAUAUUUUAACGGCCGCGGUACUCUGACCGUGCAAAGGUAGCAUAAUCAUUUGCCCUAUAAUUGAGGGCUGGUAUGAAUGGUUUGACGUGAACAAAGCUGUCUCUAUGUAAUUUUUUAGAAUUUGAUUUCUAGGCGAAGAAACCUAGAUUUAAUUGAAAGACAAGAAGACCCUAUUGAGCUUUAAAAGAGUAAAUUGAAAACAAUAUAUAAUUUUAAAUAUUAAUCUAUUUUAGAUUUUGGUUGGGGCGACUAUGGAACAAAUAAAGCUUCUUUAUUAAGCGGUAAGACUUACAAGUGUUGAUCCAGGAAUUUUGAUCAAUGAAAUUAGUUACCAUAGGGAUAACAGCAUAAUUCUCUUUGAGAGUCCUUAUCGAAAAGAGAGUUUGUGACCUCGAUGUUGGACUAGAAUAUCCUAAAGAUGCAGCAGUCUUUAAGGGUUGGUC
rnacentral:rRNA from 1 species